GGGAUGUUAUGUGUAGCAGGAAUUGAAUUGUGCAUCUCUCCCAAAUGAUGGGAAAAUCACUCCCCAUGAAGGUGAGGCUGUGGAAGGAAUCAAAGAACGGCACAAACAGCACUACAAAUAAAGGUGAUGCCAACCUGAGAUUUGCUACUGGUGUCUUCACUCUCCUGUUCCCUUUGCCCAGGAUUACAGUCCUCAGUCAUCAGAAAACACUUCUGGGAACACAAGAAGUUUCUUCACUUCAAGAAACGAUCAAGAUGUGCAAUAAUGGAAAAUCUCUGAAACAAGAGAAAACAGGUUUGACUUUGCUCCACUGUACUGUCUACACAUGUACUGAAGCAGGUAAUUUAGAUUGUUUUAG